GAUGAACGCUGGCGGCGUGCCUAAUACAUGCAAGUCGAGCGAACAGACGAGGAGCUUGCUCCUCUGACGUUAGCGGCGGACGGGUGAGUAACACGUGGAUAACCUACCUAUAAGACUGGGAUAACUUCGGGAAACCGGAGCUAAUACCGGAUAAUAUAUUGAACCGCAUGGUUCAAUAGUGAAAGACGGUUUUGCUGUCACUUAUAGAUGGAUCCGCGCCGCAUUAGCUAGUUGGUAAGGUAACGGCUUACCAAGGCAACGAUGCGUAGCCGACCUGAGAGGGUGAUCGGCCACACUGGAACUGAGGCACGGUCCAGACUCCUACGGGAGGCAGCAGUAGGGAAUCUUCCGCAAUGGGCGAAAGCCUGACGGAGCAACGCCGCGUGAGUGAUGAAGGUCUUCGGAUCGUAAAACUCUGUUAUUAGGGAAGAACAAAUGUGUAAGUAACUAUGCACAUCUUGACGGUACCUAAUCAGAAAGCCACGGCUAACUACGUG
rnacentral:rRNA from 1 species